rnacentral:lncRNA from 1 species
AGAACAAAGGCCUGGAGACUGGAACGAGCUGCGUUCUUGGGGGUGGGGGGUGGCAGCUGGAGAGUGGGGGCUUCCCCAGCGGGAGGGGGAGGACGAUUCUGGAGGGCUUCCCUCCUUGUGUGCAGAGUGAGUCUCUGCUAUGAGAAAGUAGAGACGGGGUUUCACCGUCUUA